rnacentral:lncRNA from 13 species
UGGGUACGGAAAACAUACUAAGAACACAGAAAUCUCUGAGUCCAGAAACGGUGACUUGAGUCCACAAGGCGUCCAACAGACCUGAAGAUAAAUGACAAGACCACAAAGUGUCACUGUCUCUUAUUGCUGUCCCAUGGCCGAAAAUGUGCAGUGUUUCUGAUAUUAGGUUACCAGGAGACUGUGACUUCUUUCUUGGGUGCCCUCUCUUCACUGUGCCUCAUUUCCUCUGCAAGAAUACCUGCCAUGUUGUGACCUGCCUGAGAGAGGCUCACAGUGGGAGAAACUGAUACUGCCAAGCAGCAUCAAGGACCAACAGCCAAUGAGUGGACUUGGUACAGGACUUACCAGAUCCCUGUCCCCUUCCUUGUCCGAUGUCUGCUGCCUUGCUGACCAUGGUUUCACAUAUUUUGUCUGCGGGAGGUUGUUUGUGGUUGGAGGAAAUAUCCCUGUACUCAUCUGGUCCAGAAGUGCAAGGAUGAUAUACGUUUUUCUUCAUUAAAUUGUUAUUUAGAUAUAAUUGUAGAUUUACAUUCAGUUGUAACAAAUAAUACAGCAGAUCCUGUGCACGCAUUUACCUAGUUUCUUCCAAUGGUAACAUCCUGUAUAACAUUGGACAAUAUCACAACCAGGAUAUAGGCAUUAGUAAAGUCGCAACACAGCACACUUCUGUGAUGGUUAAUAUUAAAUGUCAACUUGAUCGGAUUGAAGGAUGCAAAGUAUUGUUUCCGGGUGUGUCUGUGAGAGUGUUUCCAGAGAAGAUUAACAUUUGAGUCAGUGAACUGGAAGAGGCAGAUUCACCCUCAAUCUUGGUGGGCAAAUGGCUGUCAGCACAGCUAGAAAAAGCAGUCAGAAGAAAGUGGAAUUAGCUGACUUGCUGAGUCU